rnacentral:rRNA from 1 species
AUGGGAACGCGAAGAACCUUACCUAGACUUGACAUCUCCUGAAUAGUGUAGAGAUACAUGAAGCCCUUCGGGGCAGGAAGACAGGUGGUGCAUGGUUGUCGUCAGCUCGUGUCGUGAGAUGUUGGGUUAAGUCCCGCAACGAGCGCAACCCUUAUCAUUAGUUGCUACCAGUAAGAUGAGCACUCUAAUGAGACUGCCCGGGUUAACCGGGAGGAAGGCGGGGAUGACGUCAAAUCAUCAUGCCCCUUAUGUCUAGGGCUACACACGUGCUACAAUGGUGAGAACAACAAGAAGCGAAGCCGCGAGGCAGAGCAAAACUGAAAAACUCAUCUCAGUUCGGAUUGCAGGCUGAAACUCGCCUGCAUGAAGUUGGAGUUGCUAGUAAUCGCGAAUCAGAAUGUCGCGGUGAAUACGUUCCCGGGUCUUGUACACACCG